UGACCCCAGGUCAGGCGGGAUUAACAGCUGAGUUUAAGAAUAUCAAUAAGCGAAAGAAAAGAAACUUACAAAGAUUUUCUUAGUAACGGUGAGCGAACCGAGAACAGUCCAGCCUUAGAAUCGGGCAGCUCUGUCAUCCGAAUUAUAGUUUGGAGAAGCGUCCUCAGCAGCGGACCGGGCCCCCGUCCUCUGGAAGGGGGCGCUAGAGAGGGUGAGAGCCCCAUUAUGCCUGAACCCUGUCGCACCACGAGGCACUCUCUACGAGUCGAAUUGUUUGGAAAUGUAGCCUAAAUUGGGCGGUGAAUUCCAUCCAACGGUAAAUACAGGCGACAGACCGAUAGUGAACAAGUACCGCGAGGGUAAGAUGAAAAGGACUUUGAAAAGAGAGUCAAAGAGUGCUUGAAAUUAUCUGGAGAGAAGCGGUUGAGGGCCGAUGAUGCACCCUGAUCAAAAGUAGAAUGGUGAUGAGCUAGUCCACCGAUUGACUCGGGGUGUGGACCAGCGUGGAUUUGGGGUCGGCCAAAGCCUGGGCUUUCAAUACGCUCGUGGAAUGCUGUCUCCUCAAUUGUGGCCGGCAGCACGCCCCUCCGGUGUUCUUCGACAUCUGCGCGCUACGGAUGCUGGCUUGUGGGUUCCCUAUUUUACCCAUCUUGAAAAAUGGACCAAGGAGUCUGACAUGUGUGCGAGUCAAUGGACGAGUAAACCCGUAAGGCGUAAGGAAGCUGAUUGGUGGUAUCCCCCCGAGGAGUUCACCGCCGACCGACCUUGAUCUUCUGCAAAAGGUUUGAUUGUGAGCAUACCUGUUGUGACUGGAAAAUGGUGAACUAUGCCUUAGUGGGGCGAAGCCAGAGGAAACUCUGGUUGAGGCCCACAACGAUACUAAUAUGUAAAUUCUUCGUCUAACUUAGAUGUAAGGCCCACGGCUGCUGUGUCGAGCCGUGCCACUAAAUCAAGAGCUCCAAGUGGGCCAUUUUUGGUAAGCAGAACUGGCAAUACGGGAUGAACCGGAAGCCGGGUUACGGUGCCAAACUGUACGAUAACCUAGAUCCCACGAAGGGUGUUGGUCGAUUAAGAUAGCAGGAUAGUGGUCAUGGAAGUCAAAAUCAGCUAAGGAGUGUGUAACAACUCACCCGCUGAAUAAACUAGCCCUAAAAAUGGAUGGCGCUUAAGCGCACGACCUACACCCAGCCGUUGAGGAAAGUUCCAGUCCCCGAUGAGUAGGAGGGCGUGGCGGUCGCUGUAAAACCUUGGGCGCGAGCCCGGGCAGAGCAUCCGUCGGUGCACAUAUUGAUGGUAGUAGUAAAUAUUCAAAUGAGAACUUUGAAGGCCAAAGAGGGGAAAGGUUCCAUGUGAACAACACUUGCACAUGGAUUAGUCGAUCCUAAGGGUCGGGGGAACCCCCACAGAUAGCGCGUUUUGUGCGUGCUCCAAAAGGUAAUCGGGUUGAAAUUCUUGGACCAGGACGUGGUGAUCGACGCCCAGUGCACGACAUCUAUUGCUGGGAGUUGGAGCCGGUGCUGGGCGUACAUCAAUGGAGCAUUUGGAUGCACAGUGUGUGAGUUGUGUUCGGUAUAUGCGGUUAGGUUGGAUCUCUACUUGAGCACCAACGUCUUGACCCACCUGCCAUCUCAGUCGUGGGGUAAGCACAAUUUAGGUUUGCUUGAAGUCCAUUUCCUAUGCUGUAUACCUAAUGCCCAGGCAUUAUCAAGUUUUAUCGAUCAUCCUUCACACCUCGCAUUUCAUGCACGGGGUGAAUCAAAAGGCUGCCCUCGUGUCACAGGCCUUUCUCGUUUUAUCGUGCGGUCAUGGUCCAUCAGCGGCGGUCAAGAUUCUCGGAUAUAAUAGACGCAAUGGGCAUAGGGUCUUUAUCGACUCCUAUCUGUCCUGUACGAUAGAGUAAUGAUAUAAGUGGAUUACACAUCAUAAAUUCACAAACCCAUAGCAAUAAAGAGUAUACUACAAGGUUUCCAUAACCCUAACAAAUAAACUUAGCUAUGCAUGAGUAAAACAGGAAUCAAAAUAGACAUAUUCGUCAUACCAAAACUUAGAACAAUCUUGGUGAUAAAAAUGACUAGAGACAAUAAGAGAGAAACGCGUUUCUCUCUCUUUGUCCUCAAGCUAAGCAUCUCCCUUCUUUUCAAAAAUAAUAUAGAAUCUGAAUAAUCUCAAUAAUCCCUAAAAAUUCAGCAAUAAUGCUUUUAAUAACAUCCUUCUCUAAUAAAUUGCUACUGCAUCCUUAACUAUUUAAAAAUACUGAGUUUGCUCGGGAAAAAGUUCCCAUGCAUCACAUUCAGUCCAAAAGUUGCCUUCCCUUUUAUGUGAAGUUUUCCUUUGCUGUCCACAGGGCCUCAAAGUGCUGAAAUCUUCCUCAUUAGUACCUAAAAAGCAUGUUAAUCACAUAGAUCAGCUCACUUAAUUGAAAAUAGACUAAAAGUGCAGGAAUUAUGUAUUUUAUCCUCAAAACUUAGCAAAAACAUGGGUAAGUUAUGGUUCUUAGACGUAUAAAUACGCCCAACAUCAAGUAAACCCAUAAGGUGUAAGGAAGCUGAUUGGUGGUAUCCCCUCGAGGGGUGCAUCGCCGACCGACCUUGAUCUUCUGAGAAGGGUUCGAGUGUGAGCAUACCUGUUGGGACCCAAAAGAUGGUAAACUAUGCCUGAGCGGGGUAAAGCUAGAGGAAACUCUGGUGGAGGCCCGCAGUGAUACUGACUUGCAAAUCGUUCGUCUGACUUGGGUGUAGGGCCCGCGGCUGCUUUGUCGAGCCGUGCCACGAAUCAAGAGCUCCAAGUGGGCCAUUUUGAGUAAGCAGAACUGGCGAUGUGGGAUAAACCAAAAUCUGGGUUACUGUUCCAAACUGUGCACUAACCUAGAUCCCAAAAUGUUAGGAAGUUCGGAGACAUCGGCAGGAGCCUCAGGAAGAGUUAUCUUUUCUGUGUAACCGCUUCCCACAGUGGAAUCGGCUUAGUCAGAGGUAGGGUCCAGUGGCUGGAAGAGCACCACACAUCACGUGGUGUCCGGUGCACUACCGAAGGCCCUUGAAAAUCCAAAGAACCGAAUGCCGUCCAUGCCCGGUCGUACUCAUAACCAUAUCAAGUCUCCAAGGGAACAACCUCUGGUUGAUGGAACAAUGUAGGCAAGGGAAGUCGGCAAAAUAGAUCCGUAACUUCUAGAAAAGGAUUAUCACUGAGGGCUGGGCAUGGGGGUCCCAGUCCCGAACCCAUCGGAUGUCGAUGGACUACUCAAGCUUCUCCCAUAGCGAGAGCGGGUCACUGCAUACCGAUCAGGGGAUGUACUGGGAACGGUUCCUUCAGGGGCCUUCCCUGCACAUCAAACAGCCAACUCAGAAUCGGUACGGACAAGGGGAAUCCGACUGUUUAAUUAAAACAAAGAAUUACUAUGGUCCCAACGGAUGUUCACGCAUUGUGAUUUCUACCCAGUGCUCUGAAUGUCAAAGUGAAAAAAUUCAACCAAGCGCGGGUAAACGGCGGGAGUAACUAUGACUUACUUAAGGUAGCCAAAUGCCUCAUCAUCUAAUUGGUGACGUGCAUGAAUGGAUUAACGAGAUUACCACUAUCCCUGUCUACUAUCCAGCAAAACCACAGCCAAAGGAACGUGCUUGGCAGAAUCAAUGGGGAAAGAAGACCCUCUUGAGCUUGACUCUACUCCGACUUUAUGAAAUGACUUAAGAGGUGUAGUAUAAGUGGGAUCCGUGAAUUGGAAUUGGGGCACUGCCCCUACUGGCUGGAUCAACUAGGUAGACAGGCAAAAGUGUAAUACCACUACUUUUAACAUUAUUUUACUUAUUCUGUGAAUUGCAAGCGGGGCACUGCCCCUCAUUUCAGACCCCAGUCUCACUCUGUGGGCUGAUCCAAGUGGAAGACAUUGCCAGGCGGGGAAUUUGGAUGGGGCGGCACAUCUGUUAAAAGAUAACGCAGGUGUCCUAAGAUGAGCUCAACGAGACCAGAAAUAUCGUGUAGAACAGAAGGGUAAAAGCUCGUUUGAUUCAAAUUUCCAUUACGAAUAAGAACCAUUAAAGUGUGGCCUAACGAUUCUUUAGACCUUCAGAAUUCAAAGCUGGAGGUGUUAGAAAAGUGCUACCACAGGGAUAGCUGUCCUGUUGUAACCAAGCGUUCAUAGCGACGUUGCUUUUUCAUCCUUUGAUGUUGGCUCUUCCUAUCAUUUUGAAGCAAAAUUCACCAAGUGUUGGACUGUUCACCCACCAAUAGAAAACAUGAGGUGGGUUUAGACCAUCGUGAGACAGGUUAGUUUUACCCUACUUAUGACAGUGUCACUGUAGUAAUUCAACCUAGUACGAGAAGAAAUAUUGAUUCACACAAUUUGUCAUUGCGCUUGGUUGAAAAACCAGUGGCGUAAUGCUACCGUGUGUUGGAUUAUAACUGAACAUCUCUAAGUUAGAAUUCGGACUAGAAGCGAUGCAUGCGCCUGCUAUCCGCUUGUCGACCCACAGUAGGUGCCUCGGCCCCCAAGGGCACAUGUCGUUUUCUAAGCCACCGCGGUAGAAGAAUCACGGAGGCCGCCUUGAAGUAUAAUUUCCAUCGAGCGGCCGGUAGAAUCCAUUGCAAAAGACUUAAAUAUGCGAUGGGGUAUUGUAAGUGGAAGAGUGGCCUUGCUGCCAUGAUCCACUGAGAUUCAUCCCUUUGUCGCUCUGGUUCGU
rfam:Capsicum annuum cultivar Zunla-1 chromosome 10, whole genome shotgun sequence